rnacentral:misc_RNA from 1 species
GAUGAAGAACGCAGCGAAAUGCGAUACGUAAUGUGAAUUGCAGAAUUCAGUGAAUCAUCGAGUCUUUGAACGCACAUUGCGCCCCCUGGUAUUCCGGGGGGCAUGCCUGUCCGAGCGUCAUUGCUGCCCUCAAGCACGGCUUGUGUGUUGGGCCUCCGCCCCCCGGCUCCCGGGGGGCGGGCCCGAAAGGCAGCGGCGGCACCGCGUCCGGUCCUCGAGCGUAUGGGGCUUCGUCACCCGCUCCGUAGGCCCGGCCGGCGCCCGCCGGCGACCCCCCUCAAGCUUUCCAGGUUGACCUCGGAUCAGGUAGGGAUACCCGCUGAACUUAAGCAUAUCAAUAAGCGGAGGA